UACGAAGGGGGCUAGCGUUGCUCGGAAUUACUGGGCGUAAAGGGCGCGUAGGCGGACAGUUUAGUCAGAGGUGAAAGCCCAGGGCUCAACCUUGGAAUUGCCUUUGAUACUGGCUGUCUUGAGUUCGGGAGAGGUGAGUGGAAUGCCGAGUGUAGAGGUGAAAUUCGUAGAUAUUCGGCGGAACACCAGUGGCGAAGGCGACUCACUGGCCCGAUACUGACGCUGAGGCGCGAAAGCGUGGGGAGCAAACAGGGAU
rnacentral:rRNA from 1 species